rnacentral:rRNA from 1 species
GACGAACGCUGGCGGCAUGCCUAACACAUGCAAGUCGAGCGAGCAGAUCCCUUCGGGGUGAAGCUAGCGGCGGACGGGUGAGUAACACGUGGGCAACCUGCCUCAUAGAGGGGAAUAGCCUUCCGAAAGGAAGAUUAAUACCGCAUAAGAUUGUAGCUUCGCAUGAAUCAGCAAUUAAAGGAGCAAUCCGCUAUGAGAUGGGCCCGCGGCGCAUUAGCUAGUUGGUGAGGUAACGGCUCACCAAGGCGACGAUGCGUAGCCGACCUGAGAGGGUGAUCGGCCACAUUGGGACUGAGACACGGCCCAGACUCCUACGGGAGGCAGCAGUGGGGAAUAUUGCACAAUGGGGGAAACCCUGAUGCAGCAAUGCCGCGUGGGUGAUGACGGCCUUCGGGUUGUAAAGCUCUGUCUUCGGGGACGAUAAUGACGGUACCCGAGGAGGAAGCCACGGCUAACUACGUGCCAGCCGCCGCCGUAA